CCCUUGCUCUGAUAAUACUGUGGCCAGUGUGUGCUUCAGCACAGAUAUGCUUGUAAUUAUAAAUUGUACGUACAUAACUGGUAAAAUCCAUAUGUUAUGUUUCAGUAUGGACUCAAUAAACAUCUGUAUUUAAUAGAAUGUGUCUGAUGUUCAAAAUAUGGCUUAAGGGAAUAAAGCUAUGAAAUCGAUAAAAUAUAUAUAUUCUACAGUUGUAUAUCUACACAUUUCCCAUCAGAACGUAUAGGAUCGUGUUACCGUUUUUAUAAAGUACUUUAAUUUCAAUGUGACUUUAUAACACUAUUUCUGUUUAUCAUAUACUUGUAUUUCCAAUGUUCAUUACAGGAAAUCAGCUGACAUUUUCAUUUUUUAGGUCGUACGUUUCCGUAUGCAGGAUCCUGACUUCCGGUUAAACUAUCAUGCACAUCUACCUUACGAAAGUGGUUAUUUUAAAUCAGUUUAUAAAUAUAUACUUCCUGCUUUAAGAAUCGACGAACUGAAACGAAGUACGUCAAAAUACAAUUGUAGUUUCGUUAUAUUUAAAGUAGAUUCAUAUAGAACUUUAAUAUUGAAUAACGGUUUCACUUUUGAUACAAAUGAAGUGAUUGGAUCAUGUCAUAUAAACGUUGUAACCGUAGAAAGCUAUUAAAUCUUCCCCAGAUAGACAGACAGACAAAGAGAACAGGGGGGAGAGAGAGACACACGCAAACAGAGAGACAAACAGACAAUUUAUAAUCCAAAGGUUACAAAUCCAUGAGUGAAUUUAUAGUAUAUAAUCAUGUAACAUUUGAAUAAUAAUGCCAAUAUGUGAACUUUUAAAAUAUAUUAGCCAUUCUAGGACAUUGAUUAUAAAUUACAAGGGUAAAUAUGCAUCAUUUCACCAAUGAAACCGUUUAAAAUAGUAUUUAUUUUGUUUAUUUGAAAAUUACUGCUACGGCAUUGGUGAUUUUGGUGGUGGCGUCAAGAAAUUUUAUGAUAGCUCACGUCACUGACUUACGAACAGAAAACCUGUCUAGCCAGUCUGGCAACCUUUUAAAUAUCGAUAUAACUCAUUGCAGACUUGGAGCGGUCUUCUGCGCAUGCCCGAAAGUGAUUGUCAAUUGUAGCGCACGGCUAAAAUAUGCUUAUUUUUGCAUGUCCGCAUGCAUUUAAUGUACAAUUUGCAUAAAAUACUGACUAAAGGUUAGGGUUAGUAUCACCAUGGUUACAAAAUAUACAAAUUUAAGAUAUUUUCGUUCAAAUUUAGUUAAUCCGGUAUGUACCGGAGUCUGUAAUUUAUACCGGCGCUCCAAGUCUGCAUUGAGUCUUUAAAUAUUGAACCAAAAAUCAGUCAAAGAAAGAACCAGUCUCCUGAUAAUGACAGACAUGAAACAUUCCGGGAAACACAAAACAGAAACAGACAGACUAACCAUCACGCGUGUAUUGAAGAAAAGAAGUAUGGUGCAAAAAGCUGGGUAAAUAACACGCAAAAGGUUAAUCACAUUAUGUUUUUAAAAGUACACAAAGCUGGUUCAACAACAAUGGAAAAUAUAUUCUUCAGAUUUGGUUUACGUCACAACCUUACAUUUGUUCUUCCAAAGACUGGCGUCUAUGUGCUCGCUGGAGGUGAUUCUGACGAUAUUUUACCGGUAAGAAAGGGUGCCCACUAUGAUAUUUUAGCCAGCCAUUCAGUUUAUAAUUCAACAAAGAUGGGUCGAGUGCUUCCGGCAAAUUCGGUAAAAAUCGGAAUAGUUCGGGAGCCCUUGGACAGAAUGGUUAGUGCUGCAUACUAUUACAGAGAUCAAGGGAAGCCAUACCUCUUAGAGGUGCCAAAGCAAAAUUUCAUACUGAAUCUCAUUCGUAACCAAUCUGCAUACGAGAAAAGUGAAUUUUCCAAUACAUAGAACUCAAUGGCAAAGGAUUUUGGCUUCCCUGAAGGGAUUACAGAAAAUAUGACAAAGUCUGUAUCCAACUAUAUUUCUCAACUUGCCACAGACUUUAGGCUUAUACUUAUCAUGGAAAAAUUUGAAGAAUCCUUGAUUUUGAUGAAAAGGGUUUUAAACUGGGAUAUGUUUGACGUCUUAUUUAUUGCCGCGAAUAGCCACAAACACGAUCAAAUUCGAUUGAAUCAAGACGAUCUGGCAAAAUUUAAAUCCAUGUGCUUUCUAGAUUACGCCAUCUACGAAAGAUUUUUGGUCUUAUUUGAAUCAAAAAUAAUGUUAGAAGGGAAGGACUUCAAAGAGGAAGUCGAACAUUUCAAAAAUAUGUUAGAUACUGUAAGGAAUUUCUGCCACACUGAUAGCGAUGGAAAAGUUUUGAAAAUUGAUGGAUCAAAAUGGAAUUGCCCUUUCAUUGUGACUAGUACAGAUUGUCGAGUUAUGAAAAUGGAUGUGAACUUUAUUUCUUUCCCAAUUCUCAGGGAAAGACAUUUUAAAAUGCACGGUCUAGAAGUCUAAAUAGUGUAGCUGGUGUAGCAAAUCAAAUAUGCACAAACAAUUGCACCAUGGAGACCGAAUUAAAUACUAGACAGAAUGUAUCAUAAAGAAUUUACAAGCGUUUAUAUUAAUAUUCUGUUGCAGAUGUUUGUUGAUCAUUGUGUGAUUAGUAACAAGAUGCAGUGUUAACAGUCAUGCCUGCUUAUAACUAUCUACAAUAUUUCUUUAUAUCAAACGUUAGAAAAGUGCUACAUUUUCUGUAGUUUUUAUAAUGAUGUUUGGACAUUUCUUAACAUAUAAUUGGCAGAAUCGAAUUCCUUCAAUCCACUCAUAUUAAAUAUUUUAGAAAUAGUCUCUUAAAACCAAGAGUGGAUAUAUUAGAUAUAUUUUCCAUAUGGCAACAGCCAAAAACAGAUUCUAAUAUAUUUAAAAAUGCAAGUGUAAUCAAUGCAAAAUGCUACAUUAUUCCUUUACAGCUAAACAGUACAUUUAACUCUACCAGAAUUUAGGCAAAGAGGUUGCAUAUUGAAAACUUCCAAAAUAAACCACAUGGAAAGAUGUGGACAAUUUUGCGGAUUAAGUUAAAUACAAGUUUUUAUAUGCUCUUUAACAUAUCAUUAAUAAGUAGAUGUAUUUAUCUAA